GUUCCCCCGCAGGGAGGCCAGCUCUUCCCUCCUGGGCAGAAGUCAGGCCCUGCGCCCUGGUCUGAACCCCAGGUUCCAGGUGAGCCCCUUGGGGGCCCCUCCACCCCUGUGGUGGCAGGGGCAGCCCCCCACAGCCCUCCCCUCAAGGACCACAGGUGGCUGACCGCACACGCACCUGCCCUGGGGCAUCCUGGAGGCGAGUAAGUCUUCAGAGCCCCAAACCCGUCUUCAGACGUUUCUUCUGAAAAUCCAGAGGCGCUCAGGGCACCUGGGUGGCCCGGUCGGUUAAGCGGUGGACUCUUGACCUUGGCUCAAGUCCCGAUCUUGUGGUCGGGGAGAUCCACGGCCUCUGAGCUGACAGGAAGGAGCCUGCUUGGGAUUCUCUCUCUCCCUCUCUCUCUCUCUCUCUCUCAAAGUAAGUAUUUUUUAAAAAAGAAAAGAAAACCCCCAGGAGCUGUGCUUUACCGCCCACCUGGCGUCCGGCGUCUCUGGAACGAAUCCCAGCCGGGGUCAGAGCCUUCUGACAUCCUGUUCUACGCGGUUUUGAAAUCCACUGUCGUUACUUAAGGGACCCGGGGAGCCCCGAGUCGUCACGUGCGGGUUCAGCUACUCUCCGCCUGCAGCUCAGACACACAGACACGCUCAGACACGCAGAGGGACAGACAGACGCACAGACACGCGACACACGCGCCGUGGGCCUGUCGGGGCUGCGCAGGAGCCAAGGGCGAAGCUACAACAGGCCGGGCAACGAGACACGCUGAACGUCAGCCCCGAGUGGAAAAACAAGUCACGCAUCCACGUGGACGCGCACAAGGGAGUCCGCACACGGUCGGGAAGAAGGGACACGUCUCUCAGCAGCAGAACCCAGUGCCCUCUCCCGGGCGUGGGAGGCGGAAAGGAGCCACUUUCCAGAAGCGACCCCGACCUGACAGCACCCCUCGGCCGGGGCCGGGGCGCGGGGCGCGGGCGCCAAGGUCCACAGCCGCGGGGUCGCGCGCCCCCGGACGUGAGGUGACGGGAAAGGACCCCGUCUGCGGCUUCCUCCUAAAAUCACACGUGCGAGUCCAGUCGUGGCGAAACACGAGACGAGCCCCUCGCGGGGCUCUUCCCCCAAACUCCGAAGCAGGCGCCUCAACGCCUCAAGGUCACGGGACCCAAGGACGACCUACGGAACUGCCCGCCUAGACGGGCCUAAGGAGACGUGACGAAACGAGACGUGGUGUCCCGGAUGUGACCCUGGGACGGACAACAGGCGCGAGGGGGCACAGCGGUCUGCACACGCCGUGGGCCUGACGUAACAGCCGCGAUCGCUACCGCUUCACGCGCUCUGGCCACGCGCCGCCCUCCUGUAAGACGUGAACUCCCGCGUGGGCUGCCUUCACGAUUUUUCGGUAAAUCUAAACCUGUCCUGAGAGAAGCAGCUUAUUUAAAGAAAACAAACCACAAAAUGUGUAUGUGGCGGCUGCUGACCUGUGACGCCAGUCGAACCCGGGCUCGCCAUUCGCUGGGGGAGGGGCCGGGAUCCCGAGGACGCGGGGCUGGACCCCGAGGGAACGGGCAGUCUU
ensembl:lncRNA